rnacentral:pre_miRNA from 1 species
AGUGCAAUGGCUGGAUCAUAGGGUAAGAGUAUGAUUGUUUUGUAAGAAAGUACCAAACUGUCUUCCAAAGUAGCUGUACAAUUUUUCAUUCCCAUUGGCAAU